rnacentral:rRNA from 1 species
CUGGCUCAGGACGAACGCUGGCGGCGUGCCUAAUACAUGCAAGUCGAGCGGACUAAUGGGAGCUUGCUCC